rnacentral:tRNA from 1 species
GCCGGAAUGGCUCAGUUGGUAGAGCGACGCAUUCGUAAUGCGUAGGUCAGGGGUUCGAGUCCCCUUUCCGGCU